rnacentral:rRNA from 1 species
AGGAGGCAGCAGUGAGGAAUAUUGGACAAUGGGCGAAAGCCUGAUCCAGCAAUGCCGCGUGAGUGAUGAAGGCCUUAGGGUUGUAAAGCUCUUUUACCCGGGAUGAUAAUGACAGUACCGGGAGAAUAAGCUCCGGCUAACUCCGUGCCAGCAGCCGCGGUAAUACGGAGGGAGCUAGCGUUAUUCGGAAUUACUGGGCGUAAAGCGCACGUAGGCGGCCUUGUAAGUUAGAGGUGAAAGCCUGGAGCUCAACUCCAGAACUGCCUUUAAGACUGCAUCGCUUGAAUCCAGGAGAGGUGAGUGGAAUUCCGAGUGUAGAGGUGAAAUUCAUAGAUAUUCGGAAGAACACCAGUGGCGAAGGCGGCUCACUGGACUGGUAUUGACGCUGAGGUGCGAAAGCGUGGGGAGCAAACAGGAUUAGAUACCCCGGUAGUCCG